AUCUUUCUUUCAAUCUUCUUGUUAGUUUAUGUUAUAAGCCUUAUUGAUUCAUAUGCAAUUUUGAUUAAAGAAUGGUCAACUGUUGCUCUGUUUUUGUCCAGAUUGUCACAUACUUUGAGUUCAAUUUUUAGGAAAGGUAAAUCUCUUUUCUAUCAUGUAAACAUGUUUGAUCACAAAGGAAUAUGUGUUGUAAGUGAAUCUCCGUAAUUGGUUAGAUGAACGGUAAAACGAGUUUCAUUUCUUAAAAAAACUGGCCUCAACUUGUUUAAGAUUGUCUCGUUGUCUGGUUGGGGCUUGCUUUGAAUUUGACAAAAUGGAUUUUGAUUGGAAACUAUUCUCUCUAGUUCUUAUAAUCUGCUUGAGACAGCGAUAAUGUGGUGGAUGAAUUUGAAACGAGCACGAAUGCUAAUUGAAAUUAUUGGAAACGGUUUGAGGAGAGACAACCAGAAAAAUGAUAAACAAAGCUUGAUAAAAGUCAGUUUGUUACCAGAAAAUAGUGAGUAGGUGUUUUAAAAAUAAAAUUGGUGGAUUUUCAAACAAAAAAUAA